rnacentral:rRNA from 1 species
AUUGAACGCUGGCGGCAUGCUUUACACAUGCAAGUCGAACGGCAGCACGGGCUUCGGCCUGGUGGCGAGUGGCGAACGGGUGAGUAAUAUAUCGGAACGUACCCAGAAGUGGGGGAAAAGGUGCCAAAAGUUCGGCAAAUACCCCAACCAACGUAUGAUGGAAGUAGGGGGACCCCAAGGCUUUUUGUCCCUGUGGGGGCGUAUAUCUGUUUGGCUAGUUGGUGAGGUAAAGGCUCACCAAGGCGAGGUCCAGUAGCUGGUCUGAGAGGACGACCAGCCACACUGGAACUGAGACACGGUCCAGACUCCUACGGGAGGCAGCAGUGGGGAAUUUUGGACAAGGGGCGCAAGCCUGAUCCAGCAAUGCCGCGUGAGUGAAGAAGGCCUUCGGGUUGUAAAGCUCUUUUGUCAGGGAAGAAACGGUAGAGGCUAAUAUCCUUUGCUAAUGACGGUACCUGAAGAAUAAGCACCGGCUAACUACGUG